CCUACGGGAGGCAGCAGUGGGGACUAUUGCGCAAUGGGCGAAAGCCUGACGCAGCGACGCCGCGUGAGGGAUGAAGGUCUUCGGAUCGUAAACCUCUGUCAGCAGGGAAGAACGGUCACUGUGCUAAUCAGCAGUGAAUUGACGGUAACUGCAAAGGAAGCACCGGCUAACUCCGUGCCAGCAGCCGCGGUAAUACGUAGGGUGCGAGCGGUAAUCGGAAUUACGGGGCGUAGAGCGCUCGUAGGCGGUAUGUCAAGUCAAGGGUGAAAUCCCAGCGCUCAACGUGGGAACUGGCUUUGAAACUGGCAAACUGGAGUGUGUGAGAGGGUAGGGGAAUUGCAGGUGUAGGAGGGA
rnacentral:rRNA from 1 species